GCAAUUUUAAAGGCGCGAGCGAUACAGUCUUGAAGAAAAACAAUUCUCAGCCGCAGUAACAAACAAAUUUAGGAUUAUGGAAUACUAGUGAAACUACUCCAGGCAGAAUUACCCGAAUUACCGGCAUCGAGGAACAUUUUCAUCUUCAUGCUUAUGCGAAAAUUACGCAGAUCCAUCAGCUUCGAAUCACUUUUUUGACCUUGAUAGUCUGAUAGAAAGUAGUCAAUGGCAUAACUCAAAUAAUUGGGAGACAAGGAAGCGGAACUGGGUCGAGAAGGACCAAUCAUUUUAGCCACCGUAGCCAGCAACAGGAUAGGAUUCCGUUUGAAUCACUGAGACGACCGUCGUACAUCAAACGGCUCUUCCAUGCCGUCGCUCAUUCACCGAAAAAUGAUUAAUCACCGCUCACCGAAUCCGCAUUUGUUCGACUCCGAAUUAUGGUUGCAGAGAUACUAUUGAUGAUUGUCGAUUGUUGGGAGGUUGGCACGGAUGAUCCAUCUGAUGUACAACAAGGACGUGACAAGUAACUAAUCAUUUUUGAAUGGAUCAGAAUUAUGUAACCACGACUCUGCAAGUAGAACACCAGGUUUUAUCGGUUUUGUUCUGUAUGUUAAUAAUAUUUUUUGCGACUCUGACAUUUAUGCAGCGAACGGAGCAACCCCUGAAGCCAAUUUCUGUUUUUAAUUUGUGCUACUACCAUGAAAAAAUCAAAACUGUUUCACUGAAAAACUACGAAUAAAUUAACCAA